CGAUUAGCGGCGGCCGUUAUAGUGACUCCAAAGGUAGCGAAAAUGUUGGGUAGGAAAGUUCCA
rnacentral:rRNA from 1 species